UACAGAGGGGGCAAGCGUUAUUCGGAAUUAUUGGGCGUAAAGAGCUCGUAGGCGGUUCGGCAAGUCGGAUGUGAAAUCUCCACGCUUAACGUGGAGGGGCCAUUCGAAACUGCUGUGACUCGAGGCCAGUAGGGGGACGCGGAAUUCCGGGUGUAGUGGUGGAAUGCGUAGAGAUCCGGAGGAACACCAGCGGCGAAGGCGGCGUCCUGGACUGGUACUGACGCUCAGGAGCGAAAGCGUGGGGAGCGAGUCCGG
rnacentral:rRNA from 1 species